rnacentral:rRNA from 1 species
UGGGGAAUCUUCCGCAAUGGACGAAAGUCUGACGGAGCAACGCCGCGUGAGUGAUGACGGCCUUCGGGUUGUAAAGCUUUGUUAAUCGGGACGAAUGGUUCUUGUGCAAAUAGUGCGAGGAUUUGACGGUACCGGAAUAGAAAGCCACGUCUAACUACGUGCCAGCAGCCGCGGUAAUACGUUGGUGGCAAGCGUUGUCCGGAAUUAUUGGGCGUAAAGCGCGCGCAGGCGGAUUGGUCAGUCUGUCUUAAAAGUUCGGGGCUUAACCCCGAGAUGGGAUUGAAACUGGCAAUAUAGAGUAUCGGAGAGGAAAGUGGAAUUCCUAGUGUAGCGGUGAAAUGCGUAGAUAUUAGGAAGAACACCAGUGGCGAAGGGGGCUUUCUGGACGAAAACUGACGCUGAGGCGCGAAAGCCAGGGGAGCGAACGGG